AGAUUGAACGCUGGCGGCGUGCCUAACACAUGCAAGUCGAGCGGUAACAGGUGUAGCAAUACAUGCUGACGAGCGGCGAACGGGUGAGUAAUGCUUUGGAAUCUUCCCAGUAGUGGGGAAUAACCAGUCGAAAGAUUGGCUAAUACCGCAUACGUCUGUAAAGGGAAAGCGGGGGCUCGUAAGACCUCGCGCUAUUGGAUGAGCCAAAGUCGGAUUAGCUAGUUGGUGGGGUAAUGGCCUACCAAGGCGACAAUCCGUAGCUGGUCUGAGAGGACGACCAGCCACACCGGAACUGAGACACGGUCCGGACUCCUACGGGAGGCAGCAGUGGGGAAUAUUGGACAAUGGGGGAAACCCUGAUCCAGCGACGCCGCGUGUGUGAAGAAGGCCUGCGGGUUGUAAAGCACUUUUAGUGGGGACAAAAGCUACGGAUUAAUACUCUGUGGUCUUGAUUUAACCCAAGAAAAGCACCGGCUAACUCUGUGCCAGCAGCCGC
rnacentral:rRNA from 1 species